AGGACGAACGCUGGCGGCGUGCCUCAUACAUGCAAGUGGAGCGACGAACCAGGAUUUAUCCUGGGGCAAAGCCGCGAACGGGUGAGUAACACGUGGGUUACCUGCCCCGAUGAUUGGGACAACCCGAGGAAACUCGGGCUAAUACCAAAUGUGCCCGUGGUUGUGAUGAUCACGAGGAAAGGAAGCUUCGGCCUCCGCAUCGGGAUGGGCCCGCGGCCCAUUAGCUAGUUGGUGGGGUAAAGGCCUACCAAGGCGACGAUGGGUAGCUGGUCUGAGAGGACGAUCAGCCACACUGGGACUGAGACACGGCCCAGACUCCUACGGGAGGCAGCAGUGGGGAAUAUUGGACAAUGGGCGCAAGCCUGAUCCAGCAAUGCCGCGUGAGUGAAGAAGGUCUUCGGAUUGUAAAGCUCUUUCGACGGGACGAUGAUGACGGUACCGUAGAAGAAGCCCGGCUAACUUCGUGCCAGCAGCCGC
rnacentral:rRNA from 1 species